rnacentral:rRNA from 1 species
AUUGAACGCUGGCUGCAGGCCUAACACAUGCAAGUCGAACGAGUGGCGGACGGGUGAGUAAUGUCUGGGAAACUGCCCGAUGGAGGGGGAUAACUACUGGAAACUGUAGCUAAUACCGCAUACCAUCGGAUGUGCCCAGAUGGGAUAAGCUAGUUGGUGGGGUAACGGCUCACCUAGGCGACGAUCCCUAGCUGGUCUGAGAGGAUUACCAGCCACAAUGGAAAGGAGACACGGUCCAGCCUCCUACGGUAGGCAGCAGUGGGGAAUAUUGCACAGGGGGCGGAAGCCUGAUGCAGCCAUGCCGAGUGUAUGAAGAAGGCCUUCGGGUUGUAAAGUACUUUCAGCGGGGAGGCGUUACCCGCAGAAGAAGCACCGGCUAACUCCGUGCCAGCAGCCGCGGUAAUAC